ensembl:lncRNA
AACUUUGCUGUUUCAGUGUUGCUCUAUUUCUUAGAGUAUUUUUUUUGUUUGUUUUUUGUUUUUUAGUAUGUCAGUUUUAAAAAGUUAAAUCUCAUUUUAUCACAAAGGUUAGCUCCUAAGGUGCAAACUCUAUAUUGUACCUAUAAUCACGCAUUCGACUUAAGACUCCCUGGUGGGUUGCAAGCUGCUGGGAGGCCUCUUUCAUUGUGCUUCCCUGGGUCAAGUAAAAAGUUAUAACCAAGUAAUCAAGGUGAAUCCCAAGUAUAGGUAUAGGUAUAGGUAUAGGUACAGGUAUAGGAAUAGGUAUAGGUACAGGUAUAGGUAUAGGUAUAGGUAUAGGUAUAGGAAUAGGAAUAGGUAUAGGUAUAGGAAUAGGAAUAGAUAUAGGUAUAGGAAUAGAUAUAGGAAUAGGUAUAGGUAUAGAUGUUUUGUGGUGCUAGGGAUCAAACCAGGAUUUCGCAGACACUGGGCAAACACUAGCCCUGAGUUAUUACAUCCCCAGCCAGAAGGUACUAAUGUUUUAGUUUUCUCUGGAUAAACUUUAUGAAUAAAGUUAUCAAGACAGGCUUCUCCUUUUACAUUGAAGUCUAACUAAAAACUCAAGCAGUUUAGAGCAUAGAUAUUAUAACUGUACAGUGGCG